UUUGGUCAUCUAGAAGAAGUGUUACAGAUUUUGAGUAAUCAUCUGCUAUUUGCUUAGUUGUCAAAAUGCAAUUUUGGGAUCACCAAGGUGGACUAUUUGGGUCACACAGUUUCUAAACGAGGGGUAGAAAUGGAUGAAUCAAAGGUUCAAUCUAUUUUGGCUUGGCCAGUUCCUGGAUCCAUUAAAUAGCUUUGUGAAUUUCUUGGCAUGAUAGGUUACUAUAGGCAUUUUAUAAAGCGGUAUACCACUCAUGCAUUCCCUUUAACUUCAUUACUAAAAAAAUAUUUUUAAGUGGUCCCCUAAAGCUACUGAUGCUUGUGUUAAGUUAAAGCAGGCUAUUACUAUGACACUAGUUUUGGCCCUUCCAAAUUUUUCGUUACCUUUUGUUCUAGAGACCGAUGCAUCAGGUACUGGGAUUAGGGUUGUACUAAGUCAAGGCCAUCACCCAAUUGCUUAUUUCUCAAAGAUAUUAUAUCGCCUAGAAUGUAGAAGCAAUCUGCUUAUAGUUGCAAACUGUAUGCAAUCAUGGAGACUCUAGCAAAGUUUCACCAUAAUCUGUUAGGGCAGAAGUUUAUCAUUAGGACUGAUCAACGAAGUCUUAAGUCUUUAUGCAAUCAGAUCAUUCAAACCCCCGAGCAACAUGUAUGGAUUCACAAAUUUUGGGGGUAUGAUUUUACCAUUGAGUACAAGCCCGACAAGGAAAAUGUUGCUGCGGACACCCUUUCCAGGUCCUUUUUCAUGGCCUUAUCCGAGCCACAUGCCUCCUUAUUGUCUCAAAUUGAGCAAGCCACGAAUAUGGACCUUCCUUGUUGGAUAUUCCCACCAAGUGUGUGGAAGGGAAUGCCCUUGACCGUUACUUUCAUGUUGCAAAUAAUUUGAUGUACUAGAAAUAAAGGAUAGUGGUUCCAAACCAACCCGAAUUAGCUACGUCAAUUCUCAAAGAAUUCCAUUCACCACAAAUUGGAGGGCAUUCUAGAGUAGCCUGCACCAAGGCUCGGAUUGCAAGUCUAUUUUAUUGGCCUACUAUGGCGAAGUACAUUAAGUUGGUUGUGUCCCAACACUUGGUGUGCCAACAAGCUAAAUCUUCUAAUGCCUUACUUGCUGGCCUCUUGCAACCAUUGCCGAUAUCGACACAGAUUUGGGAGGAUGUGGCCAUGGAUUUUAUCGUCCGUUGCCGAUAGUGCCUGGGUUCACUGUUAUUAUGGUCGUGGUGGACCGUCUCUCAAAAUAUAGUCAUUUCCCCCUCUAAGAGUUGAUUACAACAACCUCAUUGUCACAAAAACCUUUAUUUAGAUGGUAGUCAAACAACAUGGUUUUCCAAAAACUAUAGUAUCUAAUAGGGAUAAGAUUUUUACAAGCAAAAUUUGGAGACAUUUGUUUCGACUAAAUGGGACAACCCUUGCCAUGAGCUCAGUCUACCAUCCCCAAUCCGAUGGGUAAUCAGAGGCCCUAAAUAAAUGCUUGGAAUUGUAUUUGCAUUGCUUUACUUCGAAUAACCCAAAACACUAGUUGAAGUUGUUGCCUUGAGCUGAGUUUUGGUACAAUAUUUCUCAUCACAACAACAUUGGCAUGACACCUUUCAAGGUUGUUUAUGGUCAUGAUCCCCCAACUUUGAUCUGCUAUCAGAUGACUACAAUGGACCCACCAAACUUGCAAGAAAUGCUACAGUUGUGGGACACGAUACUAGUUCAGCUCAAGGCCAAUUUGAAUAGGGUCCAACAGUUUAUGAAAAAGCAUGCAUACCAGAAUAGGCUACCAUUGGAAUUUCAAAUUGGGGGCAUGGUAUCGAUGAAACUUCAACCUUAUCGCCAGUAUUCGGUGGCUUUGCGUAAAAACCAUAAACUUGGUCUCCAUUACUUUGGCCCUUUUCUGGUGUUAGAAAAAAUUGGUACAGUAGCCUAUAAACUCUUGUUACCUCCUAUGGAAAAAAUACAUCCAGUGUUUCACAUUUCAUUACUGAAACAUUGCAAAGGCAAUCAUACAACCUCGUUUGUUCCAUUACCAUUAUUGUCAGUUGAACAAGCACUACUACAAAAGCUUGAAUUUACGACGCGCCAUUUACGACGGUUCUCAAGAACUGAUUUAGAAUAUGGCGCGGUGGCAAUUUUGUAAAUAAGGAAACAAAAAUUUGUUUUUACGUCGUACAUUCUAAGAUGGUUAUAAAUAACCGUCUUAGAAUGGGUGUUGGUGGCAAUGUUGUAAUUACUAUAAAUUAAGACAACAUCGGUUUUUAUCCUAAGAUUGUCUUUGUAUAACAUAAUAACCUAAGGCGCUUCUACUCCUGGCCCUCACCCAUUCUCUGAGCCAUCGUGUUUUCCUGAGCCAUUCUCUCCCCACCUCACGCAGAUUUUGUCCCUCAACCUCAACUAUCAAUUAAGACAAAGCUUGUUCCUUAGCCAUUCCUCAACCUCAUGCGCACUCUGAACUCAGUGAAUCACACCACACAACACAGACAAUAUCUCAGUCUCAAUCUCAGGUCAUUGCUCAUAACUUAGUUGCGCUUUGCUUUCUAUUUUCACUUGACUGCAGUUGAACAAAUCUAUACUCACAUCACAGGUUGCUUCCUAUGAGUUUACCACCUUAACUUGCAUCCCAGGUGUGAUCACAUAUCGUGGAGCUAAAAUCCAGGUAU